rnacentral:tRNA from 1 species
GAGGAGAUGGCUCAGAGGUUAAGAGCACUGGCUGCUCUUCCAGAGGACCUGGGUUCAGUCCCCAGAAGCCUCA